rnacentral:rRNA from 1 species
CUUAACACAUGCAAGUCGAGCGGAAACGAUGGUAGCUUGCUACCAGGCGUCGAGCGGCGGACGGGUGAGUAAUACUUAGGAAUCUACCUAGUAGUGGGGGAUAGCACGGGGAAACUCGUAUUAAUACCGCAUACGACCUACGGGAGAAAGGGGGCAGUUUACUGCUCUCGCUAUUAGAUGAGCCUAAGUCGGAUUAGCUAGAUGGUGGGGUAAAGGCCUACCAUGGCGACGAUCUGUAGCUGGUCUGAGAGGAUGAUCAGCCACACCGGGACUGAGACACGGCCCGGACUCCUACGGGAGGCAGCAGUGGGGAAUAUUGGACAAUGGGGGAAACCCUGAUCCAGCCAUGCCGCGUGUGUGAAGAAGGCCUUUUGGUUGUAAAGCACUUUAAGCAGUGAAGAAGACUCCGUGGUUAAUACCCACGGACGAUGACAUUAGCUGCAGAAUAAGCACCGGCUAACUCUGUGCCAGCAGCCGCGGUAAUACAGAGGGUGCAAGCGUUAAUCGGAAUUACUGGGCGUAAAGCGAGCGUAGGUGGCUUGAUAAGUCAGAUGUGAAAUCCCCGGGCUUAACCUGGGAACUGCAUCUGAAACUGUUAGGCUAGAGUAGGUGAGAGGGAAGUAGAAUUUCAGGUGUAGCGGUGAAAUGCGUAGAGAUCUGAAGGAAUACCGAUGGCGAAGGCAGCUUCCUGGCAUCAUACUGACACUGAGGCUCGAAAGCGUGGGUAGCAAACAGGAUUAGAUACCCUGGUAGUCC